AGUUUUUAAACAAAACUAUUACUAUACAUAAUAUUUUAAAUAUUAUCAGUUAUAUAUUCCACAUUCCAUAACCAACUAAAGUUUGCAAAAGAAGUGUACUAGACAAAUAAAGCUAUCUUUCAACUUUUGUUUAGAUGCUCUGGACAGAUUAAGUUAUACUACGACCUUUAAUAAAGUGCUCUGUUGAGAAAAGGCUAUUUCAAGUUCUUAGUAUUCUGAUUGGACAAAGUGUUUUCAACAGAAGUAUUCUGGAAAAAUAAAGCCAUCUCACAAGUUUUGAUAUAUUGCUCUGGGCGGAUAAAGCUAUCCAACACCUUUUGAUUACAAUUUCGGAUCGGAUAAGAAGACUAUUUCAAGUUAAGAAUUUUGGGCAAAUAUGCUGUUCUCAAUGAGAUAUUAGAUCCAUAUUUUGAAGUUGGUUACAAGUUUUCUCCAAGCAAAUUGUUAAGCUUCAUUGAUUUAUAAUAUUUUUUUCUCAAAAAUCAACUGAAUAAUGCAGCUAUAUGCAGCAACAAGUCUCUAUAUAAUUACUAAAAGCCCUAAUACGGUAAUUCACGAUGAAUACGCUUUGAAGAAAAGAUUCAUAAAAAAAAUAUUUUCGCAAAAAUACCGAGAUUCGCAAAGACGCUCGCAAUCAUAAAAAAAAAGAAAGA